CCGGAUCGUUAUCCGCUGCAUGGGUGCCGUCGCUUUCGGCCGGAGCCCGGAGCGAAGGCAAUGGAUGCGCCGGAGCGGGUACGGUGGACCCGGUCUGCCGGCGGACGUGGCAACGCCGGAGUGGCUCCGCUCCCGCGCGCCGCGUGGGCGCCUGCUCGUGCGCGGCUGUAAAUCCAAUCCGCGCCCGUAAUGUGUCGUCGAUGCGCUUUGCAGGCACACACGUGCAGUCUGCAGCGUGGUUGUGCUGUGUCAGCGCGACUCGGAGCCAGAAGAUGCAGAGGCCUGAUCUUGUUCGGUGUUUGUGAGGGGAAUUCGCUGCGGAGAGCCGGAGACACCGCAGAGAUGAGAGGCUGCUUGGCGGUGGCGGUACGGUGCCGACGCGCCGUGAUGACGCUGCGCGUCGAAGAAAUCUUGUGGGGUGCCCACGUGCGCGGCAGCUCAGGAGAGUGACAGCACUGACGUACACGUAGGAGUACUGCGGUCUGCGGUGCCCGGUGGAUCCAUGGAGGGAGCGCGGUUCACGGGUGGAUCGCCGUGGACAGGACGAGGGCUAGAUGUCCGGUAGGCUUGAGCCGCCAGCGCAAAUCUGUUAACAGCUUUCUGGGCUCCAUAUGCGAGCCGAAUACUCUGAAACAUAUGACUACGGGAAGACAGAUGUAGGCGGGCCAACAAAAUGGGCCGUUCUAUGUGUUGCUCAAGCGGGCCUGCUAUCGUUUCUGCAAAGGGAAAAAAAAAUCUAUGGAGUCUCAGAGUUGCGGUAUGAUUUUUCUAGCUCCUCAAUCUAUAUAUCUUCCUAAUAAUAGACUAAUAUAACAUAGGUAAAAAUUCUCUCUCAUUUUUUUUGGUCUGACCCUUCCUAACUAACUUUGUGAAUGUGUUCGUAUGUCUACAGCCCUCCCUAUUUGUAUAUAACUCAUAGUUGGGUUAUUUAAGAAGGAAACAAUAAUCAUGGUCGUCAAUAAACAAAAGGAGAAUGACCAACCCAAAGUACAUUGGCGGUUAGGAAGUUCCACCUCUUUGUUACUUUGGGUCAAUCAGGAUUUUAGUGUUGCAAUGGUUCCAAUCAACUUGAUGGCACUACCUUCUUAGCUCCUUGCUUUUCACUACUGUGGACACCAAAUUCUCAUAGGCAACUUCAAAGGUCACCCACUUUUGGUAUAGAUAGGAUGUUCAGGCUGCUUUUGAUCACUAGUUUUUUUACUAAACUUGGGAGGCGAUCCUUGGACAAACACUAGAUGGCUAGGUAUUUGUGUAUUUCCAACUCUUGUAAUGUACCUUGGAGGCAAUCCUUGGGCAAUGACUGGAUGACCACACGUUGGUAUAUGAAUAUUCUCUUGAGGUUGGGAAUUCUAUGCAAACCUAGAGGGAGGCCUCGCAUCUUGUCACAGUACUAGAAGUUGAUUGUUCUUUUUUAUGAAAUCACCAUGGAGGGGGGAGAAUCCCCAACCUGAAUAUAUCAAUGAUUUGGCCCUUAUGGUCUGAUGUCAAGGUUACAAUAAAACCACUUCAAUACUAGAGGUUGAUUGUUCUUGAGAGAAGUAAGGAGCUAAAGUAGCUCAUUCUGCUACU
rnacentral:lncRNA from 1 species